UACAGAGGGGGCAAGCGUUAUUCGGAAUUACUGGGCGUAAAGGGCGCGUAGGCGGCCCGCUAAGUCGAACGUGAAAUCCCCGAGCUCAACUCGGGAACUGCGUCCGAUACUGGCGGGCUUGAAUCCGGGAGAGGGAUGCGGAAUUCCAGGUGUAGCGGUGAAAUGCGUAGAUAUCUGGAGGAACACCGGUGGCGAAGGCGGCAUCCUGGACCGGCAUUGACGCUGAGGCGCGAAAGCUAGGGGAGCAAACGGG
rnacentral:rRNA from 1 species